CAGUGAAUGUGUGUGUCAGUAAGUGUGUGUGUGUCUGUCAGUGAGUAUGUGUGUGUCUGUCAGUGUGUCUGUAUGUGUGUGUGUCUGUCAGUGAGUAUGUGUGUGUCUGUCAGUGUGUGUGUGUGUGUGUCUGUCAGUGAAUAUGUGUGUGUGUCAGCGGGAGGAUCAGAUUUGGCACAGGGUGGUAGAGGGGGGUGCUGUGGUUUAGUAGAGG